CCUACGGGUGGCAGCAGUGAGGAAUAUUGGUCAAUGGUCGGGAGACUGAACCAGCCAAGCCGCGUGAGGGAUGAAGGUACAGAGUAUCGUAAACCUCUUUUGUCAGGGAACAAAGGCGGGGACGCGUCCCCGGAUGAGUGUACCUGAAGAAAAAGCAUCGGCUAACUCCGUGCCAGCAGCGGCGGUAAUACGGAGGAUGCGAGCGUUAUCGGGAUUUAUUGGGUUUAAAGGGUGCGCAGGCGGUCUGUUAGGUCAGCGGUAAAAGCCCGGGGCUCAACCCCGGCCCGCCGUUGAAACUGGCAGUCUCGAGUUGGAGAGAGGUAUGCGGAAUGCGCGGUGUAGCGGUGAAAUGCAUAGAGAUCGCGCAGAACUCCGAUUGCGAAGGCAGCAUGCCGGCUCCACACUGACGCUGAGGCACGAAAGCGUGGGUAUCGAACAGGAUUAGAUACCCGUGUAGUC
rnacentral:rRNA from 1 species